GACGAACGCUGGAGGCGUGCUUAACACAUGCAAGUCGAACGAUGAAAUGGAGCUUGCUCCAUGGAUUAGUGGCGAACGGGUGAGUAACACGUGAAUAACCUGCCCUUAAUUUUGGAAUAACCCAGGGAAACCUGGGCUAAUACCGGAUAAGUAAACCUGUGGCAUCACAUGGUUUUGGAAAGUUUUUCGAUUAAGGAUGGAUUCGCGGCCUAUCAGCUUGUUGGUGAGGUAAUGGCUCACCAAGGCGACGACGGGUAGCCGGCCUGAGAGGGUGAACGGCCACGCUGGGACUGAGGCACGGCCCAGACUCCUACGGGAGGCAGCAGUGGGGAAUAUUGCGCAAUGGACGAAAGUCUGACGCAGCGACGCCUCGUGGGGGACGAAGGUCUUCGGAUUGUAAACCUCUUUCAGCAGGGACGAAGCGAAAGUGACGGUACCUGCAGAAGAAGCACCAGCUAACUAUGUGCCAGCCGCCGCCGUAA
rnacentral:rRNA from 1 species